GACGGGAGGUGCAAGCGUUACUCGGAAUUACUGGGCGUAAAGCGUCCGCAGGUGUCCUGCCACGUCUGAGGUAAAAGCACGGAGCUCAACUCCGUGUACGUCUCGGAAACGAGUAGGAUUGAGUCACUCAGAGGCAUCUGGAAUGUCGCGUGUAGGGGUAAAAUCCGUUGAUCCGCGAUAGAACGCCAAAAGCGAAAGCAGGAUGCUGGGGGUGUACUGACACUCAGGGACGAAAGCGUGGGGAGCAAACGGG
rnacentral:rRNA from 1 species